CCAGUGCAGGGUAGCAUCUGAAUAGAUAGUUCUGUUUCAGCCAGUUCUUUUCUGGAGAGGUGCUUGUCAGGCACUGAAAGUGAGAGUUGGAGGAAAACAAACAGAUGGCCAACUAUUUGUGGUCACCGAUCAGCUUGUUUUCCUCCAAUAUCUCACCUUCGGUUGACUGAUUGAUUGCCUGGCGUCGGCUUCUGAAGCCUAGAGACAAGGAACAGAUUGGGUUACAUGCAUGCACCGCUCAAAGCGAGGAUUAGAGGGAGCUGAACCAUCCAUUGGAAGCAUAGAGUAAUAGUUCAGUUUCUUCUAAUAUCUCACCUUGACUGGUCCAUCUGAAAUAUGCCAGACACCCAAGGUGAAAACUAUAACUGAGCAGAUAGGUAUAUAGACUGGAGUAAUAAGUUUCUCAAAAAACCAGACUUUCUUUAGUCAUACAGCAUCAAGAAACCACACCUCUAAAAGUGCAUUUCACAAAACCACACUUCUGUGACAGAAUAUUUCUCCAGACCACUUUUGUCACUCGCAAUGUGGUUAGUAAAUAUACGUUCUUAAAGUGUUUUUUAUAGUUUUGAAAAAGAAAGCGUGAUUUUAAGAAAUUUAAUCAAUAAACUGCCUUAUGGUCUAAUUUGUUUUCCUCCAACAUCUUACCUUGGCCGAAUUGAUUGAUCCUGGGUGGCUGACUAGUAACUGAUGGCGAGGCAACGGCUAAAGCGGCAGCCUCUUGUGAUACCUUGCCUCCAACAGACGCAGCCUUGUCAAAGCUUAAAACUUGGACCCUAUCCUCCACGUAGCUCAAUCCAAUCAUAGUGGGGAGGCAAUCAAUUCAAUUGGCAGUGGUGGAUAAAGCAAAAAGGCAGAAAAGACUAGACAGCAUUGUUCCAUUGAUGUUCUUUAGAAUUUGCAAUUUGCAUGAUGCUCUAGGAAGUCAAAUGACGUUUGUAUAAUAUUCAAUGUUUCACUAUUUCAUUCUAUUAGCGGUCAGUAUAAUAAGAUCAAAGGCACUAUGGUCCAGUGAGUACUAACUGUUGGACCCUCAAGCUACAAUUUCUUUAUUUGAAUCUCAACUAUAGCCAACCUGUGGAAGUGAACAAACUUGUACAAUCACGAAAAACUAGCCAUGGAGAAUUUCGAAGGACAGAAGCAGGGCUACUGGAUUUGGUUGCAACUAGUGA